GGAAGUAGUUCAGUGGUAGAACACCACCUUGCCAAGGUGGGGGUCGCGAGUUCGAACCUCGUCUUCCGCUCCA
rnacentral:tRNA from 1 species